rnacentral:lncRNA from 1 species
GCAAACUCAAAUAUGAUAAGGGAGAAUACUGCGGUAUUGCCCUUGAUUUUGAAAUUAAUUAUUUAGUGGCAAGAUAAAUAUUCAUUUAUAAAAUAUUAUUUCAGUUUAGACUAAGAAGAUUUUUUACGAUAUUUGGUUGGAAUAUUUUUUGAGAUUUAUAUUGGAAUGUGGACUGUAUAUAAAGCUUACUAAUAUAUAUACACAUACAUACAUACAUUAUACACACACACACACACAC